rnacentral:misc_RNA from 1 species
AAGUCGUAAACAAGGUUUCCGUAGGUGAACCUGCGGAAGGAUCAUUAUCGUAGGGCUUCGGCCCUGUCGAGAUAGAACCCUUGCCUUUAUGAGUCACCCGUUCCGUUUCCUCGGCAGGUCCGCCCUUGCCGAUGGACCCAAACCAACCCUUUUAUUACCUGUAUCAGUCUGAAAAAAUAAACAAAAAUUAAAA